rnacentral:tRNA from 1 species
CAAGCUAACCUAAGAGGUAUUAUUAUUUACAAUAAUAUGAAGAUUGUGCAAUUCAGUCUAGUUUGA